rnacentral:rRNA from 1 species
AUACGUAGGGUGCGAGCGUUGUCCGGAAUUACUGGGCGUAAAGAGCUCGUAGGUGGUUUGUCGCGUCGUCUGUGAAAUUCCGGGGCUUAACUCCGGGCGUGCAGGCGAUACGGGCAUAACUUGAGUACUGUAGGGGAGACUGGAAUUCCUGGUGUAGCGGUGAAAUGCGCAGAUAUCAGGAGGAACACCGGUGGCGAAGGCGGGUCUCUGGGCAGUAACGGACGCUGAGGAGCGAAAGCAUGGGUAGCGAACAGGAUUAGAUACCCUGGUAGUCCAUGCCGUAAACGGUGGGCGCUAGGUGUAGGGGUCUUCCACGACUUCUGUGCCGUAGCUAACGCGUUAAGCGCCCCGCCUGGGGAGUACGGCCGCAAGGCUAAAACUCAAAGGAAUUGACGGGG